AUUGAACGCUGGCGGCAUGCCUUACACAUGCAAGUCGAACGGCAGCACGGGGGCAACCCUGGUGGCGAGUGGCGAACGGGUGAGUAAUAUAUCGGAACGUGCCCUAGAGUGGGGGAUAACGUAGCGAAAGUUACGCUAAUACCGCAUACGAUCUAUGGAUGAAAGUGGGGGAUUCGCAAGAACCUCAUGCUCGUGGAGCGGCCGAUAUCUGAUUAGCUAGUUGGAGGGUAAAAGCCUACCAAGGCAUCGAUCAGUAGCUGGUCUGAGAGGACGACCAGCCACACUGGGACUGAGACACGGGCCCGACUCCUACGGGAGCAGCAGUAAGGAAUAUUGGUCAAUGGACGC
rnacentral:rRNA from 1 species